rnacentral:tRNA from 1 species
GAUGGUAUAGCUCAGUGGUAUAGUGGAGUGUGUGCUUAGCAUGCACAAGGUCCUGGGUUCAAUCCCCAGUACCUCCA